AUAGACACCAAGGAGAUGCUGCAAAGACAGAUCCAGUUUCGAAAAAGAAAAAUUGAAAUGGUCUAAAGAAGACACUGCAUUUUUGACCAAUUAAUUUCAAAAAUAUGUGCAG